UACAGAGGGGGCAAGCGUUAUUCGGAAUUAUUGGGCGUAAAGGGCGCGUAGGCGGCUUUGCAAGUGACGGGUGAAAUCCCUCGGCCUAACCGAGGAACUGCCUGUCAAACUGCAUGGCUUGAGACCGGGAGAGGUGAGUGGAAUUCCCAGUGUAGCGGUGAAAUGCGUAGAUAUUGGGAGGAACACCAGUGGCGAAGGCGGCUCACUGGACCGGUACUGACGCUGAUGCGCGAAAGCGUGGGGAGCAAACAGG
rnacentral:rRNA from 1 species